rnacentral:rRNA from 1 species
AGCGAACCGCUGGCGGCAGGCCUAACACAUGCAAGUCGAGCGCUCAUCUUCGGAUGGGAGCGGCGCACUGGGUGAGUAACACGUGGGAACCUACCUUGAAGUAUGGAAUAACUGAGGGAAACUUCAGCUCAAUACCGUAUACGCCCUACGGGGGAAAGAUUUAUCGCUUCAAGACGGGCCCGCGUUGGAUUUAGCUAGUUGGUGAGGUAAUGGCUCACCAAGGCGACGAUCCAUAGCUGAUUUGAGAGAAUCGAUCAGCCACACUGGGACUGAGACACGGCCCAGACUCCUACGGGAGGCAGCAGUGGGGAAAUAUUGGACAAUGGGCGCAAGCCUGAUCCAGCCAUGCCGCGUGAGUGAUGAAGGCCUUCGGCGUUGUAAAGCUCUUUCAGAUGGGACGAUGAUGACGGUACCAUCAGAAGAAGCCCCGGCUAAACUUCGUGCCAGCAGCCGCGGUAAUACGAAGGGGGCUAGCGUUGUUCGGAAUUACUGGGCUGUAAAGCGCGCGUAGGCGGCUUUGUCAGUCAGGGGUGAAAUCCCGGGGCUUAACCUCGGACACUGCCUUUGAUACUGCAAGGCUUGAGUCUGUGAGAGGAUGGUGGAAUACCCAGUGUAGACGGUGAAAUUCGU